rnacentral:rRNA from 1 species
UGAGGAAUAUUGGGCAAUGCCCGCAAGGGUGACCCAGCAACGCCGCGUGGAGGAUGAAUGUCGUAAGAUUGUAAACUCCUGUUAGAGGGGAAGAAUAGUACCGGUUGGACCGGUAUAUGACUGUACCCUCAGAGAAAGCCCCGGCUAACUACGUGCCAGCAGCCGCGGUAAUACGUAGGGGGCAAGCGUUGUCCGGAUUUAAUGGGUGUAAAGGGCGCGCAGGCGGGAUAAAAAGUCAGUGGUGAAAUCCUACAGCUUAACUGUAGAACUGCCUUUGAUACUUUUAGUCUUGAGUGCGGGAGAGAGAGACGGAAUUCCAGGUGUAGUGGUGAAAUACGUAGAUAUCUGGAAGAACACCAGUUGCGAAGGCGGUCUCUUGGUCCGACACUGACGCUGAGGCGCGAAAGCGUGGGGAGCAAACA